GCACUAGUGUUAAAAAUGUAGGUUAUAAAAUGGGACAAAUACCAUUAAACGAUAGUGCAUGGGGGGGGGGAAGAAAAAGAAUAGCCUCCAUAUUGGUGCACAUCUCCAAGGGAUGGGGUACUGGUGAGUUGUACUUAUAGCCAUCCAUGCUAACUUUUUGCAGUGAACUCAGAUUGCUUUGGCAAGAAGGAAAAUAAAAGCUAUUUGUUGAUGUUACAUGGAUGGAUUCCUGUAGCAGGAAUAGUACAUACAGGGGCAGAAGAAUGUCCGUUCCUCACCCAGCCUGUGCUGUGCCUACAGUAGCCUUCAUCCUUCAAUCCCACCCACUCCCAUAUACAGGAAUAGCUCAAUAAAACCUCAGUGAUGCUGAGUACUGAACCCUUAGUUGCCACUACCGUUCCUCCAAGUUGGCAUGAGAGAUGAAGCCUAUUUGCCAACUCUUAGAAAACCACCGAACAAAUAAAACAAAGCAGAAUUCUGUUGGCCAGGAAUUUAAGCUUACAUAGCUCUUUGCAUUCCAUUUAUUAUCCAACUGUUUUUUUAUGCUUCUCCAUUCAUCAAAACUUCUCUUCAUUCCCAAGAAACAUUAUAACUAGUAAUAAAAUGGUAGAUGUAUUUCUUGAAGAUAAAGAAUAUUACACCUUAAAUAAGCUUUAAGAUUAUAGCUCUUCCAAGAUGUUAGAAUGACUUCCGCUGUGGCACAUCCAGUUCUAGAUUGACUUCCUAGAUAAUUUUUAUGAGGAUUUUGGUGCCUGAGAUUUUGCAAGGUGAAGAAAAAAAAUGCCCCCUUUGUGAGUUUGAUUGAUUGUCAGUCAUAGAUUAUAUACAGCAGUGUCAAGAAUCAUAGGAAGGAAGUACCAUAGAUGAAACGUGUUGGAAAACAUAUACCUGCAAAAUAAAGGAAAGUGAGAUUGGACAAGAUCUAGCACUGGGUUUCUUUAAAACCCUUACCUAAACUGCACCUCUGAUUAUAUAAGAGUACAUUUGUUCCAUUUCAUCACCAAAAAUAACUUGUGAGUUUAAUCCUUUGACCUGUUGAAAGCAUACAUGUUUCCUUCCUGCCAGUUCUGGAUGUGCCAGUGUGGGUGGUAUAUCCAGGCCUUCACCUACAACAACAUUGAGCUGUCUGUCCCUUAAAGAUUGUUUCACUUAGUUUUGCUUGCUAGCUUUCAGUUUAGAAGGAUCUAGCAUGAUGUUUUCCUUAAUAUAUAUUCCUAUAUUGUCCGGAUCCAGGGCUCUAGCCUAAAUACCUCCCACACAACACUGUCUUUUUUCUCUUCUAUUAUGCCAUUCCAGUCCCAUCACCUCCUAACACAGCUUGGGUCUCUGUCAUCCUUGGGGACCAUCAUUUAAAUAACCCAUAUAUGGUAUCUCUUACUGCCUGCUUAACUCUGUUUUCUAAAGGCAAGCAAUCUGUUUUAUUUUCCCCUUGUGACUACAUGGUAGCUAGCACAAGGCUUAACUCACAGUAGGAUGUCAUCAAGAACUUAACAAGGCAGAGAAUGUCAGAACUAUGAAGAUCCUAGGGGUCUGGAACACGUCCUCUUUGCUGCACAAGAUACAUUGGAGAAAGGAUGUGCAAUCACUACUCAUUGGUUUUUUUCCUAUACAGACAAAAUGCAUCUAACAUAGAAUGAACCAUUAAAAAGAGCACAAUCCAGUGACAUUUAGUACUAAACUUUUUUCUGGAUAACUUCAUCAGUCCCCAAAAGAAAAAUCAUACUCAAUAAGCAAUCAUUUCCCAUUCUCCCUUCUCCCAGCACCCAGUAGUUACCAAUAUGCUUCCUAUCCCUGUGGAUUUUUUGAUUCUCGAUAUUUCAUGUAAAUGGAGGCAUAUAGUAUACACCUUUGUGUCUAACAACUGGCAUAAUUUUUUUUAAAUCCAUUACAUUAUAGCACACAUCAGAACUGCAGUCCUUUUAUGGCUCAAGUGCUAACAUGUUUUAAUAUGAGCAAAGUGCCAGGUGCCACUGUGUUUUACAUCAAUAAUAUCAUGCCGAGUAUUAUGUUCUCCAUUUUAGAGAUCUGAAAACUAAGGUUCAAAGCGAUGAGGUAUGUAGCUCAAGAUGAUAAUAAAAAUCAAACCAACUAACCAGGUCUAGGACAUAAAUUCCUGCUUCUCAGUGCAGGGUCUUCCUGCUACUCCUGCUACUUCCUGUCUCUCUUGUAAGUGAUUGAAUUAUCUGUCCUUUGUCCUGCCCGUUAGCCUGAAGGGUCCUAAUUUCCCUUCUGCAUGUGAUGCUAUUUUAAUGAUGGGGUGCUAUGUUUCAGAGUGGACCAAAUGAGCCUUCUUUGCUGGUGGUUUCCCUGGUUUAUAAUCGUAUGGAUGUGGUCUCAAAUCAGAUACUCAAAACAUAGCAGAAACUUACAUUGCACUUCAGUGGUGUGUGACAGGAGCCUCAUCAAACAGAAGCCCCAAAGUCAUCUCUCUUCACCUAGCACAAGAGAAGAGAAGAAGGCUUCGGCAAAUGGUGCAUAGACUGCUCUGAAGAUGAAAUACUGUAACUUACAUAUGAGCAGCUCCAGGCAGCCAUGGCAGAGGUGGAUUUUAAUAAUUAAUUCAUUAGGCCAAUUUAUUUCUCUAAUUGGUGAUGGAGUUUUGUCAACUAGGAGAUAAUAAAGCAAUUAAAAAUUUUAAAUUAUUGAAACACUUGGUGGAGUGUGGGUAUGAAAGAUGCACAGGGAGAUGGAAAAGAGACAGGAGUUCUUAAUUAUCUCGUGAAUAUGGAUUUAAAUAUUUACAAAUCGCAUUGCCAUUGAGUACCAUUUUUAUUUUUGUAAUUGUGUGUUUUCUCUCUUGAUGCUAGGUUUUUCGUUCACACACUAGUCCCAAGAGCCCUAUUAGAGAUAUUGUUCUCAACCUAGGGCCCAUGACCCAACUUUAGGGGGUCAAUUGAUGCCUGAGAAUUAUCUAGAGAAUAUUACAUGUGUGCAUUUUCUCAGACUGAACCUUGCAGAACUUUUGCAAGGUUC